CUUCACGGAUUAUACAUUAUUUGACGUUUCUCUGAGGUGUAAACAACUCGUUUGAUUGUCCACUCAGCUCAAAAAUAGUUUUAGUCACUAACAUACUAUUGUAAUGAAAACACAAAACUGGCCAAUUUUUUAGUGUGUCUCGUGAUCGACUGCAUGGCGAAAGCAAGAAACAUUUACUGAUUCGGUUCAACGAUGGCGUGACAACGAUUGUACGAUGCUUUCAAAAAACAAAAGAUGCGACAAUUGCAAAAAAAUGAGGCAACGCACCCUUCGGAGAGAAUCAAGGUCGGACAAAACUGAAAAUGUACAUCGUAUACGUCACUUGACGAAUCCCAUCGACAGGAAAAAACUUAUUGCUCUGCAGAAGAAAAUGUCUAGAGAAAAACGCGUUAACAAAUAUUUAAAGCGACGCGUCGAAUUAUUGACCGAAUCACUCAAAGGAAAAGCCAAGGAAAUAGCAUCUAUCCGUACUGAAGCAUUGGAUGAAAAAUUUGCGCAAUUUCAAGUUCCUGCAUCGCAACAAAUUGCGAUUAAAGAAAUUAUCUCUGCAGCCAUGAGGAAAGACACGAAAAAUCGUCGUUAUUCAGAAGACUGGAUAAUGUUGUGCAUUUUGAUGCACAUACGUUCUCCUAGCUAUUAUGAAUUUUUUCGAAAGAACGAUGUUUUGCCACUACCCUGUACAAGGACCAUUCGCAGUUAUUUUUCGCUCAUAAAUUUAAAGUGCGGCUUUGAUGAGCAGUUUGGACAAUUAUUAUUAAAGAAACACUUUGACACAAAAACUGAGAAGCAGCGACAUGGCGUGUUGUUAUUGGACGAGAUUAAUUUGCGGAAAUCUGUGGCAGUGUGCUCAAGAAAUUUGAGUUACGUCUAAUUGACGGAUUUUGGCAACGACGGACUGCAAUCAACAGACAUCAGGGAACAAGCAACGCACGGUCGUGUUCUUAUGUUUCAGUCAAUUGCCGACUCAUACACCCAACCAAUUGCUGUUUUCACAUCGAAGAAUCCCGUGAAAGGAGAAGAACUUGCAAAGCUGGUGAUCAAAGGUAUUACUUACCUGGAAAAAUGCGGGGCGAAGAUUCACGGCGUUAUUGCUGAUGGCGCGGCAACAAACGCUAAAAUGUGGUCCAUAUUGGGUGUAUCGGGUGCAAUGGAGAACACGAAAACGCACUUCACGCAUCCUCUUGAUGAUAACCGGAAAGUAUUUGUUUUUUCUGAUACACCCCAUGUCUUCAAAAACAUUCGGAACCGGCUCUACAAUAAAAAAAAAUUGCGGUCCAAAAAAAUGCCGCGCAAACCACUCGUUGCUAAAGAGGAUGCGAUUAAAAUGGUCGAAAAAUACAUGGAGCACUUCACAAUGGAAACGUUACCGAGAUAUACAUCGGAUGUGUGGAUUCAAAUGAGCAGACUUGGGGUGUAAGUGGAAUGCCCAUGAUGUGUACACCGCCGUACGCGAGGAUAGUCGUCAGAUUUUAUCGAUCGAACGUAAAAAUAAAGGUAUUGAAAUACCGAUAAAAGUUGUUCAAAACUCUUCUAUCCUUAGCGACGAUUCCUUUGAGCAAUCAAAGCAGGCCGAUCCCGAUUUUGAUAUCAUUGAUAAUGCCGAAUUCAAAACUCUGCGCGAUUGGUUCCCUUUAAGCGUAGAUGCUAAAAUGUGGGAGAAUAUAAAACCAAAAGGGAAUGUAGAGUAUGACAUGGAACGAAGAGAAUAUGAAAUUCUGGCUCCUAAUAAUUGGACGAACGUCAUAUUCGAUGCCUUUUUUAAGCGGUACCGAUUUCCCUGCGCUUAUAUUUUCAAACGGGCGAAAAUUUACAAAAUACCAGACAGCAUGCAUUACAUCACUAUAUAUCGUGUAUGUAAAAGACAAAGCUGUUUGAAUCCUUUUUUCGGAUUCGUCGACAAUGAACCAGAUGUUGACGAGGCUUUAGACAUCAAGAUAAAAACUUGAGACCCUUCGGGUGUUAAUCAUGAACUAGUCAAAUGUUCACUCCGAGGUUUGAAGAGAAAGAUUGUCAGUCAAGAAGUUGCCACAGAAGGAUGUUCAAACUAUCGAAAAAGUAUUGCCAGGGAAAAUGUCCAGAUUGAUGAGAUGGAGUCUCUAAAUUUCUAUAAACCACAUAUGUUCUUACGGAGCGAAAAAAGAAUAUGUCGACAAACAUCUUGACAUUAAGAUUAUUUAUAAAUCUUUUUCGAUUUAUUGAAAUAAAUUUAAUCGGAGGAAAGAAUCAUGAAAGAUAAAGUAGAAUUACAUUUGUCCAAUUUUGUGACCCGUUUUCUUAAUUCACUGAAGUUUACAAUCGAUAAUGCGUAAUGUUAAAUUAUUAAUAGCUGAGUGGACAGCUUUUCACGCAUUCUUCUGUAAAUCGUUACAUUUCUAUUUUACUAUCGAACAACACCACAUUGCACAACAAACUGUAGCCCAGCGGAAUUAAAAAUUGGGCAUAGUCGCAAUUACUGAACGACGUUCCAAGUUGAGAGGUUGCGCUGUUAUUGACCGCUAAGGUGGUCUCAACGUGGGCCCUCAGGGUUUCACGAGGUUGAUGUCUUCCGAUGGUGGAAAGAUUCGAGGAAUGACGAUUUACUAUAUUCUUAGGAAUUGCACCCGUUUUUCGUGCAGCAGAAUCUUUAGCAGUAGCUUCUGCAGCAGCAGUUCCUGUUACUGCUCCCACUGUAGGCUCUAGAAGCAGAUGUCUACAUCUGGAAGAAUUGAGAUUUCAACCUUGAAUGUACAUAGUGUAUACAUAGCGAAUUCAUAGAAGAAAAAAUACAUAAAGAAAUAAUGUACGGUUGUACCUUUCGAGAAAAUUAUCCAUAGGGAAAAUUCAGAACAAUCCACUCAUUAUCUGGAGCCCCGCUACACUUGAAUACAGUGGCUUUAUAACAAAUAUAAAAGCCGUAGAAACCGGUUUUCUGAGCCAGAUAAUAUUUACUGAUGAAUUUUUGUUCGGCGUGAGCGGUCCGUGGAACUGUAGAAACAACCACCAUUGGAGCGAAGAGAAUCCGAACGUAACAUCGGUUGGGAGCAGUCAAUUUCGAUUCCCCGCAAUAAAUCUUUGGGCUGGAAUUUACCGUAACAAAUUGAUUGGACCAUUUCAGCUCGAGGGAACCCUCACAGACCAAUCAUACUUCGAAUUCCCCCGGAGACAUUUGAGAAGAUUAUGCAUCCGCUCGGGAAUGUCUUCGGAGGAAUUCGGAGCAGCUCAUUUUCAGCAGGACGGGGCCCCAGCACACGCGAGCGUUUUGGUGCGAGAAGAAUGACGAGGACGAAGACAAAGACGAAAACGAAGAAGAGGACGAAGACGAGAACGAGUAUUGUAGUAUAACGCUUCCCCGAACGACGUGAAUCGAUUCCAACCCGAAAUAACCCCAAAAUACAUGGCGACAUGGCGCCGCGUACAACGACCGGUGAACCGCGUCACUGUUGGUCGGCGGCGACCGUACUGAUGGGCAAUACAAAGGCCCAAAACAAGCGGUGGAGCGCGACGCUAGCGGCUCUACGUAUUAAAAAUUCGAACUAAUAAAUUUUUUUGUUUUAUUAAUUUAAAAUCAACGCGAUCUCGGAAAAUUAUGUAACUAGGCUCAAAAGAUGCGGAAAAUUAUAAAGAAUGGCGGAAAAAUAAUUACGACAUAAAAUUUUGAAAAUAAAUCCGUAAAAAUAGUAAAAUAAAAAUGCGCUUUCAUGCGCACGCUCAGAUCGAAUGUUCUCGAACAAGCCGCGACCCAAACAACAAUUUUUCGAUCAAAUUAAAUCUUUUCUAAUUGAACUUGGUUAUAAGAUAAAACUUUUGUAAAAAUUGUUAAAUAAUCAAUUGAGUCAAUUUUUUAUUUGUUUAUCGUAAAAUAAUUCUCAAAAUUAUAAAAGCGAACUUUCGCGCAUCCUACGAUAAUCCGCUCAACCAAUAGUAGAGCAUGAAUCAUGGCAACGGGCCAAUCAUAGAAAGCAUUACAAAAAGAUGAGCAGAAUCGAUCUAAAACUGAGAUUUUCGGCGUUUGAUGAUUUUAUGUUAGGGAAGAGGUAUAAGAAGUGCUGCGCGACCAAUUCGGCAGGCAGACCUUCCUUAAAAUUGUGACUCGGAACAAUAAGGCUGACCUAAAACAAUACACCCUGAUUCUAGCAAACAUAAAUCCCUUUUCCUUCUUUUCCCUUGGAUGCCUGGAGUCUCGGAGCGAUUCGGCAACGUUUCAAUCCCAUAUCAGAGAGAGAUUCGGUGACGUUAUCAUCCCGUAGUCUGGGGUUUGUUCCUUAACCUAACCUAUUUUUUAUUCUUCUUUGGCUUGCUAGAAUCAGGGAUGGUUUUUUUUUGUAAAUAAUUUGUAUUUUAGUAAAUUCUUUCAGUAAAUAAUUUUUUAAUUCAAACUUUUUACAACUAAGCCCGAGUCAGACUUAAUUUUUUUUUAAUUUUUGUAAAUUUUGUAAAUCCUGUAACUUCAUCAAAAUUCAAGAGGUCGUGGUAUGAAUUUGAGGUUAUAUCGCUUCAAAUUAAUAACAUUUUUUUUUAUAUAAAUUAGUAUUAGUAUUUUUAUUUUGUAAAUGAGCGAAAAUUGCGUAAUUCACAUUGGCGAGGGCAACAUAAUUUCGGAAAUUGGCGAACGCGAUCGCAAAUAUUUCACGACAAUUAGACUAUAACGAAUUGCCAUGUGAAUAUCGGUCAAAAUUGAAUAAAUCCGAAUUGUUAAAUUUUUCAAAGUCAAAAUUCUGCAUUCUCACGUUUCUUUCAUACCUGCUCCUUUUCAUUAAGGUAGCUCGAACCGACGCGUGGAGACGUUGAGGAUUCCCAUUAUAAAUAAACCUUUACCGCAAAAGUUUUAAUCGGAAUUACUCCUGGAGGUUUCAUUUGCCUAAAAUCAAGAGUAGCUGGUGGAAAGAAAACUGAUUCGCAAAUUACUAUUGAAUCCGGAUUAAUAGAUAAUUUAGAAGAAGGAGAUAUUGUUUUAGCCGAUAAAGGAUUCCCGACAAUAAGAGCAAAACUUGAUCAGAGCGGAAAAAAGGUUAUGAUAGUAA
rnacentral:lncRNA from 1 species